ACGGUGAAACACCAGCUCCCAUAUGAUCACCUAAGUUGAGCAACAUAGAUCCUGGUCAGUACCUACAUUGGUGACCACUUGGGAAUACCAGGUGUUGUAAG